rnacentral:rRNA from 1 species
UACGUAGGGUGCAGGCGUUAAUCGGAAUUACUGGGCGUAAAGCGUGCGCAGGCGGUCUUUUAAGUCAGAUGUGAAAUCCCCGGGCUUAACCUGGGAACUGCGUUUGAAACUGAAGGCUAGAGUGUGGCAGAGGGGGGGUGGAAUUCCACGUGUAGCAGUGAAAUGCGUAGAGAUGUGGAGGAACACCGAUGGCGAAGGGCAGCCCCCCUGGGCUAA